GAUGGCAUCGGUUUUCGCCUCAUGACCCUCACAAAGAUGGCGGCCAGCGCCUCGGGCUCUGUUUCCCCUCUCUAGUGGCGGUGCGUGGCAGUCCCGAGCCGGGGGUGUUGUGCGCAUGCGCGGCGCAGGACACGCUGGGACCAUGGUCAAGAAAAAGCGAGAGGGGCUGCGCGUGGCCCAGGAGAGGGAGACCCGGGCACAUGCCUACUUGGAGUGCGCCAGGCUGCAGUCCCUGUACUGCCUCGUCCAGAACCCCACGCUGUGUGUUCCCUGCUGCUUACUCCACGAGAUAAGAGCUGCCUUGCCGCCCACUGCCCUCAUCUAUAUCAACCAGCAAUGAGUUGAAGUCCCACCUCCAUGACUGUUGAGAAACACUGAUCUACAAGACCAGAAAGAAGGCUCUGGCUGGGGGGAACCCAGAUGAGUGUGGAGCCGUCUUCCUGUCACUCCUCCACUCACGUCACCAGGCAGAGUUUCACUGGUUAACAUCCACAGGCUCCCUUGACUUGUUCAGGGGACAGUGUGGUCUACUUGGUGUCCCCUUCUGGAUCUCUUGUUAUUAACUUAUCACUUCGCUUCCAUUUCUGAUUUCUUUUUAGUUGCCCCAAGAAAUCAGUUGAUGCGUCCCCUGUGGCCUCCCUUAUUAAGGGAGGCUUAUAGUUUUUUGUGAUGGGCUUAAGCCCAUGACCACAUCAAAUAGGCCUGUGGUAUUUUAGAUGGCAGGGUAGAUUUGUGCUUUAUAGACUAGCUAAAUCAGAGGUAUAUAGCAUGAGCUUUUGUGAGCCUGAGCUUACUUUAUCAGAAGCUGUGAAAGGACAUACACAGCAUGUUUUCUCCCCCCGGCUCCCUUCUUCCCUCCCCUGUCUUUUGUAUCCAGAUCACUCUCUUUGAUGUGCUGCUCUGUGCAUGUCUUUUCACAGCAUCUGAUGAAGUGAUCUUAGGCCCACAAAAUCUUAUGCUGUACAUCUCUGAUCUAGUUAGCCUGUAAGGCACAAAUCUACCCUGCCUACCACUGCUGAUUACCUUUCUCUGCGGUAUUUGUGCCAAGGUCUCUUUGAAGCAGCGUUUUCUGCUGGGCCUUGGACUAGCCAAUAUUUUCGCAACUGGUUUGGAUGAGACAAUGGCGGGUCUGCGGCUCAACCUUGACAAUUGCAGAUGAUUUGGGGAAUGGGAUGAGAAGUCGAUAUGUUCCUAAUGAAUAGAAGACCUGGACCAGAACUAGUCAUAAUGAGUAGAGAGAGAGAUGAGGAAACAGAGAUGUAAUUAAUUGAACAUAUACAAAGCAGACAAAUACAGCCAGGGCAAGAGCACCUGUGGAAAGGAUUUGGGGCUUGUAAUUGCUGCUUCGUGUGCCACAGUGUUGAAAGAAGCCAAAGCCCUGUUGAACUACUUCAAUAGAAGCACAGCGUGUGGUAGUUUUCUUCUCUGCCUGGUCAUGUUUAGGCAUCCAAUUAGAGACAGCAGUUGUCUGUGGGCACCAUAUUUCAGUGGUAACAGACCAACAGGAAGUUUAGAGGAUAAAUGAAAAAAGGCUUGGACAGUAAGCUGUAACAGGAAGAGUUGAGGGAACUGAUUUAGAUGUUCAGUCUAAAGAUGGGACAGCCAAGCUGAGACAUAAUAGUGCCUUCCCUCUCUGAGAAGGCAGCGUAUAAAGAGAGUGUGACCCAAUUACACCUAUGGGAGGAGGAGGGAUGGAGCAUUAGCUGCAUUAGCUGGCAGCAUAGCAGGCAAUUCCAGUUAGGUUUUGGAGGGCAGGACUGUUACAGCCUGAGACUUGACAUCUGUCUACGAAUGUGUGCCUUAAAUACUGAAAUCCUUCCUGCUGCAGUCAUGGAUGGGUGGACAUGCACACAGACACAUGCACGUGGAAGGCCCUUCUUACAGCAGAAUAUUUAUGAACGGUAAAACCUCGCAGUCUCUUUAAGCCACAGGGACUGAAGUCUGAGUUUUCAGAAUGAAAUACCCAAACACCUCACAGCCACAGCUUUACUAGAUAAUUGUAAUUGUUCAUUUGUCAACAUCAUUACCUACCUAACAUGCCUUUAUGACAGUUAAAUAAACUUUCCAUAUGGAACUGAAUAUAGUCUGAAGUAAGGCUGUCUUUCUAAGGCCUGUCCCAAACACAUAGUUAUGCUGGUUUAGCUAAAGUUGUGUGUAUGAUGACACACAAAUGUGACUUUGCGCCUGGACAGACAGCAUGUUUACACCAGUGUAUUUUAAGCUACUUUUUGCACACCAGUGUAAAUUACAACAGGAUCUGAAGUAGAGACAUGAGCAGUUCUUCUGGGAUAUGACAGCGCCUCGCCACUGCGUGGCAAGGGAGAAGUUAACAGAUCAUUUGCACUGAGCAAAUGGCUACACA